rnacentral:tRNA from 1 species
GGGCCCGUAGCUCAACGGUAGAGCAAGUGACUCUUAAUCACUAGGUUCUCGGUUCGAAUCCGAGCGGGCUCACCA